CACAGAGCUAACUUUGUUAUGACACAGAGUUAAAGGUGUUAUAACACAGAGAUACAUGUGUUAUAACACAAAUGAAAAUAUUUUAUAACAGAGGUAAAGGUGUUAUAACACAGAGAUACAUGUGUUAUAACACAGAGGUUAAUGUUUUAUGACACAGAGGUAAAGGUGCUAUAACUCCUAAAUAAAGGUUCUAUAACUCAGAUGUAAAGAUGUAAUAACACAGAAGUCAAUGUGUUAUAACACAGAGGUAAAGGUGUUAUAACACAGAGGUAAAGGUGUUAUAACACAGAGGUUAAUGUUUUAUGACGCAGAGAUAAAUGUGUUAUAAGACAGAGUAAAAGGUUUUAGACGACAGAGAUAAAUGUGUUAUAACAUAGAGGAAAAUGUGAUAUAACACAGAGGGAAAGGUGUUAUAACAGUGAUAAAGGUGUUACAACACAGAGGUACAUUUGUUAUAAUACAGAGAUAAAUGUGUUAUAACACAUAGGUAAAAGUGCUAUAACUCCUAAAUAAAGGUUCUUUAACUCAGAGAUAAAGGUUCUAUAACUCAGAUGUAAAGGUGUUAUGACACAGAGGUAAAGGUGUUAUAACACAGAGGUAAAGGUGUUAUAACACAGAGGUAUAGAACAACAGUAAUGGUGGAACAUGAACCGAUAAACAAAGCCAGUGAUUUAUAUGCUCUUUGAGUUUAGUCCCCCUCAACUUCUCUGUUCUCUCCUCAGGAUGAAGAAGAAUAAAGCCUGUUUUGCAGCUUUACCGCCACGUUAAUCAUCUCUUGUUGAAACAUUUAAAUACACCCACAUUACAGUUGAAACACAACACCAGUCGAAGCGAAUACCUUUGUACCAGUAUACCACAGAAUCUGUCAUGACAGUUUCAAGCGCAAUACGUGGAAUGUAGUUUGUUAACCAAACCCACCCUUUUGGGAAUUUACAAGUCUCUUGUUUUUCAGACGAGACCACUGUCAUUGCCCUGAAUGCCACCAUAUGACAAAGUUUGGCAAGAGAGUUUGACAGUUAUGAAUAAGACAUAUAAUUGGCAGCCUUUUAGCAGCCUGAAAGCUGUGGGGUUAAGACAGUUUGUCUUUUUAACCCGAGGCUUAGCAUGGAUAAAGUGAUAACAUAAGCCUGGCUGGAGAGAUAAAGUAGAACAGUAGACCUCUUGGUUGGACACUUCCCAUUUGCUGAUGUUUUGAUCAUGGCUCCUGCACUCUGUUGAGGUAAACUAGACAUCUACUGUUGGGUCUCAGGUCAAUGACCUAUAAGCAAUGGUACUUUUCUGAUCGUCUAAUUCUAAAUGUACAGUGUAUAAAAUCUUUAGAUAUGCUGUACCUCAAAUUGGUUCAUUUCAAAAAGAGAGUAUGACGAAUUUGAGAGGAUCCGAGCAUGGCUGGGGAGAUUUGGACAGUCCAGUCUUUCUUAAUCCACAGAGAAGAUCACUGUUAUAAACCCUGCAUAAAAUCAGGAGACAAUGCUAGGUUGUUUUCUGUGUUGGCUUGAUUUUCCCUUUUUUUCAAGUCAAACUGAAGACCAGAGAGCAGCCAGCUAGUAAAGCCUCCCCUUCCCCAGCCCAGGCCCCUCAAAACAAGCCUCUUUCUGUUGGGAAUCUCCAUGGAAACCAAGCAACUAACUUGAGGAGGGAUAUAAAACCUGCUCUUUGAGGGACUGAAGGAACACCUGCCACCUCUACAGAUGGGGGUCAAAAUAGACUGACACACUGCCACCUCAUAAUGAACAGAGGGUUGUGUAACAUUUAAAUGAGUCCCCGUCCCGAACAUCUGCUCAUCGUCAAUUACUUAUUCACUGAUAACUCCUAUUUUAUCUGUUAAAACAGACCCAAUCUUUACUGGAAAUCACUUGAUGCAAUAGUGUAGUCAUUUAUGAGUAUUGGUUCAGAUUGCAGAUUGGUUAAAAUGACAGUAAUAACUGAUAUGGACUGUUCAUCAUUCUAAGAUUGAAGAUGUUAGGUGCGUAAUUGAUUUGGGAAUCUGCAUCACAUCUUGAAGUCCGAGAGCUCUGAAGGUUUUGAAAAUAAGAUAUUUGGUUGUGUGGCCGUUAGUUUGUACAUAACAUGGGUUCCAUUGAAAUCCAGCAACUGCAUGUUUAUGGAAGCGACACCACACUAUCCCCUGGCUGUUACUGUCAAAGCAAAAAGCUGCUGUUGGACAUACAUAGCCUGAACAACCUUAAUUAACACCUGCAGAAUAGCCCCGCGGUUGUUAUUUUACUGCUGCUCUUUCAUUGUUACUGUUUUUUAAUUGGUUAAGGGCUUGUCAGUAAGCAUUUCACUGUGAUGUCUACACCUGUUGUAUUCGGUGUAUGUGACAAAUAACAUCUGAUUUGAGAACCACAACAUAAAUAAAAGAAAAGUACUGUUAACCACACCAACAUUACUGGGAUUGUUAGCCACUCCGUCUUUUUGUAACCUUGCUUUUUAGGGCUAAUUGCCCUGACUUUCCAGAGUUCAGGGGUCAAACAGUUUGUCAACAAGCAUUAGGGCAGAAAUUCAAUCAACUGUUCAGCUUUUGCGAUUCAAAGGAAUCUCCUUCAAGUGUUACAAUGACUAUAAACAAAUCUUGUCCACCACCACUAUCACUAUCAAUACAGUGAGUCCCUCACAUUUCACCUAUUGUAUUUCCGCUUACCCUCACCCAUUCACACCCCAAACAUCAAAGGCCCUAUCAACAAGAACAAGUGGCAUGCAGGGGUCAUCCAUCCAGCCACCCAGCCUCAUUUUAGCCUACACUGCCGGAGGCAAUAUGCUCUGGGAUGCAUCCCAAAUGCUACCCUAUUCCCUUUAAAGUGCACUAUAUUAAUUUCACCAGGGGCCAAAGGGAUCUAUAUAGAGCAUAGGGUACCAGUCUUCCAUGUUCCUCCCCAGCCCUCCCCACUCCUCACAACUCCAUUCAUGUGUGAAAGUGACGGCUGC
ensembl:lncRNA